ACUGCAUCUCCACUAUUUCAGAACGACAUCGUGCAACAAUUCUGAAACUCUAGUUACCUCAUUGUGUGAUUAGCGAAGAAUAAUCUUCUUUGUUUUAUUGGGUGGAGGUGGGAUUGAACUUGAUGGUAAGAUGAACCAUUUUGAGCUCCACAACUGAGGAUAUAUAUGAAGUGUCUGAUCCGGCGUUAUCAUCAGAUCAUGCGCGCAUUUUCGAAGUAGAGGUCAGCCAUCAUCUUUCUGAUAAUGGAAGACAAAGGGUCUCCAUGGUUUUUGGAGAUACACGAUAUUUGUGGAAGGAGACGCAUGAAAGAUGCAUCAGGUUGGCUUCUGCUCUUUCUCAGUUGGGAAUUACCCGCGGCGACAUUGUGAGUUUCUCAUCAACUCAUCUAUAAUAUUUGAAUUCUGAUUUUAGUAAGAGAAAAAGGAUCUUCUUUUUUUUUUCUCUAAUUUUUUUUUUUGGGGGAGGGGGCUUUUGAAGGGGUGUAGUGAUUACACGGAUUUGAGUACUCUCUAAUAGAUUCUCUCUUCAUUUUUCAUCCUCAAUGUAUAUCUGAAUAUCUGGAUGUAUAACAUGUGUUUUCAUUUAUUAGGAAAGGAUAUGGUCAUUUUAAAUCUGACUAAUUCUAACCCUUAUUAAUAAAUGAAAACACGUGUCAUGCAUCUAGAUAUAUACUGUGGGAACUGAAGAGAGAAUCCAUUGAAAAGAAAUCAAGUCCAUGAUUCCACUAGUCUACAAAUUGAUAAAUUGAUGAGAUAAUGGAUUUGCGGCUACUAAAUUGAUGGAUUCAUUGGAGUUCAGUCUAGUGUGAGUUUCUUGAGUUCAGUCAAGUGUUUAAAACGCGUAUUUGGGACGGGCUAAGUGUUGUUGACCAUCUAUCCGGUAGCAUGAAGUGCGUGUCAUGGCAAACACCCGGUAUUUGGUUUUUUUUUUUUUUUUUUCAAUAAAAAAUUCCUAAUUUCUUUUUCA